AUACGAAUGGUGCAAGCGUUGUUCGGAAUCACUGGGCAUAAAGCGCUCGUAGGCGGUGACGCAAGUCAUUUGUGAAAUCCCUCGGCUCAACCGAGGAACUGCAACGGAAACUGCGUCGCUAGAGUACGGGAGGGGAGAACGGAAUUCCUGGUGGAGCGGUGAAAUGCGUAGAUAUCAGGAGGAACGCCGGGGGCGAAAGCGGUUCUCUGGCCCGUUACUGACGCUGAGGAGCGAAAGCUAGGGGAGCAAACAGGAUUAGAUACCCCAGUGGUCC
rnacentral:rRNA from 1 species